rnacentral:rRNA from 1 species
UUGAACGCUGGCGGCAUGCUUUACACAUGCAAGUCGAACGGUAGAGGGCUUCGGCCCUUGAGAGUGGCGAACGGGUGAGUAAUAUAUCGGAACGUACCCUGUCGUGGGGGAUAACACAUCGAAAGAUGCGCUAAUACCGCAUACGACCUGAGGGUGAAAGCGGGGGAUCGCAAGACCUCGCGCGACAGGAGCGGCCGAUAUCGGAUUAGCUAGUUGGUGAGGUAAAGGCUCACCAAGGCGACGAUCCGUAGCUGGUCUGAGAGGACGACCAGCCACACUGGAACUGAGACACGGUCCAGACUCCUACGGGAGGCAGCAGUGGGGAAUUUUGGACAAUGGGGGCAACCCUGAUCCAGCCAUUCCGCGUGAGUGAAGAAGGCCUUCGGGUUGUAAAACUCUUUCGGCAGGAACGAAACGGUGAGCUCUAACAUAGCUUGCUAAUGACGGUACCUGAAGAAGAAGCACCGGCUAACUACGU